GGAAAAUGCCUUAUUAAAAUAUCGAGAAACAGGAGAUGUAAUUCUUUCUACCACUCGCUGCGAAAUAAUUCGCAUACUAAUGAAUAAUUUGAAUGCGUGUGGUAAAACAAGUGUGUCAGAAAUUUCACUUGUUGCAGAAGAAGCCCUUAUAAGAAUACCAGCUCUGCGUACAAAAUCAGCACCAUCUAGUAAAGUUUUAGCCAGCGAAAUGAACAAGAGACUUAAAAACAUGAAAUAUUAUGGUAGAAAAAGGAUGAAGAAGAACUUAAAACUGAAAGAAAAAGAAAGAACUUAUGAAGAAAUGAAAGAAGAAAUGAAAAUUGAAAUGCCAAAACAAAAUCCCCCAAUUUAUUUAAUGAAAAAAACAUUUACAAUCAUGUCGAGUAAAAAGGCGAGAAUAAGCUAAAAAGGCGGGAACAGCAGCUGAUCAUUUAAGGAACUACCCAGCUCUUAACAUCCCUGAUCUUCUGUGGCGAGAAUUCGAAGCAGAAAUUUCAAUAACUAAGGACCAAAUUAAAAACAAUUGGAUAUCUGCUCUUCACUCCUUUUCAACAUUUUUUUGUCCUGACCUCCAAAACAUGGAGAAUUUGUCCUUAGACCAAAUGACAGUAAUAAUUUUGGAGAAAGUUCCGCAAUAUUUUAAAGCUGCAACAUCAAUUGCUCAAAUAAAACCGAAAGCCGAUGAAGCUCCGAGAUGAAUAGGAGUAGGUGCCAAUGAUAAGAUAAAUUUAAUGUUUUCAUUAUUCGUUGAUUCUAAAGCCUUAUUUUGCGGAACAGCUGUAGAUUCAUUGCUUCAAAUGUUUGCGCUGUAUUGGAUUUUCAACAUUGACUAUCCAAGUGACUCAAAAAUUUCUUAUAAUUUCAUCGCGGCUGUAUUAUUUAGAGAAAAAGUUUCUCAGUACUAUUCAAAGUACAAAAGUGUAGUAAAAAUUUUAGAGCAACUUCAACUAUUUUAAAAAAUAUUUUAUAUAUUUUAUAUC